rnacentral:rRNA from 1 species
AUACGGAAGGUCCGGGCGUUAUCCGGAUUUAUUGGGUUUAAAGGGAGCGCAGGCGGAGAUGCAAGCGUGACGUCAAAUUUCGGGGCUCAACCCCGUCUCGCGUCGCGAACUGCGUCCCUUGGUUGCGGGAAGGGGAGGCGGAACUCGUGGGGUAGCGGUGAAAUGCAUAGAUAUCACGAAGAACUCCGAUCGCGAAGGCAGCCUUCCGGCCCGUCAACGACGCUCAUGCUCGAAGGUGCGGGUAUCAAACAGGAUUAGAUACCCUGGUAGUCCGCACAGUAAACGAUGGACACCCGCGGUUUGGCCUGUAUGGCUGAGCCGCCAAGCGAAAGCGUUAAGUGUCCCACCUGGGGAGUACGCCGGCAACGGUGAAACUCAAAGGAAUCGACGGGG